UACGAAGGGUGCAAGCGUUACUCGGAAUUACUGGGCGUAAAGCGUGCGUAGGCGGUUUGUUAAGUCUGUCGUGAAAGCCCCGGGCUCAACCUGGGAAUGGCGAUGGAAACUGGCGAGCUAGAGUACGGUAGAGGAGAGUGGAAUUCCCGGUGUAGCGGUGAAAUGCGCAGAUAUCGGGAGGAACACCGGUGGCGAAGGCGGUUCUCUGGGCCUGUACUGACGCUGAGGAGCGAAAGCGUGGGGAGCGAACAGG
rnacentral:rRNA from 1 species